rnacentral:rRNA from 1 species
AUUGAACGCUGGCGGCAGGCCUAACACAUGCAAGUCGAGCGGAUGAAGGGAGCUUGCUCCUGGAUUCAGCGGCGGACGGGUGAGUAAUGCCUAGGAAUCUGCCUGGUAGUGGGGGAUAACGUCCGGAAACGGGCGCUAAUACCGCAUACGUCCUGAGGGAGAAAGUGGGGGAUCUUCGGACCUCACGCUAUCAGAUGAGCCUAGGUCGGAUUAGCUAGUUGGUGGGGUAAAGGCCUACCAAGGCGACGAUCCGUAACUGGUCUGAGAGGAUGAUCAGUCACACUGGAACGGAGACACGGUCCAGACGCCUAAGAGAGGCAGCAGUGGGGAAUAUUAGACAAUGGGCGAAAGCCUGAUCCAGCCAUGCCGCGUGUGUGAAGAAGGUCUUCGGAUUGUAAAGCACGUUAAGGUGGGAGGAAGGGCAGUAAGUUAAUACCUUGCUGUUUUGACGUUACCAACAGAAUAAGCACCGGCUAACUUCGUG